rnacentral:rRNA from 1 species
UACGGAGGGGGCUAGCGUUGUUCGGAAUUACUGGGCGUAAAGCGCACGUAGGCGGCUUUGUAAGUUAGGAGGUGAAAGCCCGGGGCUCAACUCCGGAAUUGCCUUUAAGACUGCAUCGCUAGAAUUGUGGAGAGGUAAGUGGAAUUCCGAGUGUAGAGGUGAAAUUCGUAGAUAUUCGGAAGAACACCAGUGGCGAAGGCGACUUACUGGACACAUAUUGACGCUGAGGUGCGAAAGCGUGGGGAGCAAACAGG